rnacentral:siRNA from 1 species
GUAGCCGAAAUUGGAUGCCAGGCC